rnacentral:miRNA from 1 species
UCACACCUUAACCUGUCAACUAU